CAGGGGGAAGCUGGUCCUAAGGGUGAGAAAGGUGAACCAGGAUUGACUGGGAAACCAGGAGAGCCCGGCCUAAGAGGUAAAGAUGGUGAAGCCGGCUUUCCUGGGCCCAAAGGAGAAAGGGGAGACCCCAUGACGAUCUUUGGACCUCAGGGCUAUAAAGGCAGCAAAGGAGAGCAGGGUGAAAGAGGCCCUUCAGGAUUUGAUGGUGACAAAGGCGAGAAAGGAGAGGAUGGACCUGCGGGAGAAAAGGGUGUGAAAGGAGAGGCCGGAGUGAAAGGCGCCAUGGGGCUCUUCGGCACACGAGGUCCAGUGGGCCAGAAGGUCAGUACAAG